rnacentral:rRNA from 1 species
AGUGAACGCUGGCGGUAGGCCUAACACAUGCAAGUCGAACGGCAGCACAGUAAGAGCUUGCUCUUACGGGUGGCGAGUGGCGGACGGGUGAGGAAUACAUCGGAAUCUACUUUUUCGUGGGGGAUAACGUAGGGAAACUUACGCUAAUACCGCAUACGACCUACGGUUGAAAGCAGGGGAUCUUCGCACCUUGCGCGAUUGAAUGAGCCGAUGUCGGAUUAGCUAGUUGGCGGGGUAAAGGCCCACCAAGGCGACGAUCCGUAGCUGGUCUGAGAGGAUGAUCAGCCACACUGGAACUGAGACACGGUCCAGACUCCUACGGGAGGCAGCAGUGGGGAAUAUUGGACAAUGGGCGCAAGCCUGAUCCAGCCAUACCGCGUGGGUGAAGAAGGCCUUCGGGUUGUAAAGCCCUUUUGUUGGGAAAGAAAAGCAGCAGGUUAAUAUCCCGCUGUUCUGACGGUACCCAAAGAAUAAGCACCGGCUAACUUCGUG